CCAAUAGCGUAUAUUAAAGUUGUUGCAGUUAAAAAGCUCGUAGUUGAAUUUUGGAUUCUACCAAUCGGUCCAUCUUUUGAUGAGUACUGGUUGUGUGGGGUCUAUCCGCCUGGUAAUACGUAAUGUCCUUUAUUGGAUGUUGCGGGUAGUCAGGACCUUUACCUUGAAAAAAUUAGAGUGUUUAAAGCAGGCUUAUGCCGGAAUACAUUAGCAUGGAAUAAUAGAAUAGGACGAAGUUGUUUUAUUUUGUUGGUUUCUAGGACAACCGUAAUGAUUAAUAGGGAUAGUUGGGGGCAUUAGUAUUCAAUUGUCAGAGGUGAAAUUCUUGGAUUUAUUGAAGACUAACUAUUGCGAAAGCAUUUGCCAAGGAUGUUUUCAUUAAUCAAGAACGAAAGUUAGGGGAUCGAAGACGAUCAGAUACCGUCGUAGUCUUAACCAUAAACUAUGCCGACUAGGGAUCGGGCGAUGUUGUUCAUAUGACCUCGCGGGCAGCCUUCG
rnacentral:misc_RNA from 1 species